CGGAGGAAAAGAAACUAACUAGGAUUCCCCCAGUAGCGGCGAGCGAAGCGGGAAAAGCCCAAGAUGAAAAGCCUGCUUGCAGGCAUUGUAUUUGAGCGUCCUUUGGAGUGUCAGUGUGGGUAAGUCGCAUGGAAAUGCGUGCCGUGGAGGGUGAGAGCCCCGUCCAGCCCACACAGGACACGACGUACGAGGGCGUUUCAGGCGAGUCGGGUAGCUUGGGAAUGCUGCUCUAAUUGGUGGUAAAUCUCAUCAAAGGCUAAAUAGCGGCUGGAGACCGAUAGCGAACAAGUACCGUGAGGGAAAGAUUAAAAGCACUUUGAAAAGAGGGUGAAAAGAACCUGAAACCGUCAUGGGGGAAGCGGAUUGCGUUGGAUUGGUGGGCAUUCUAUGUGUUCAGCCCUUUUGGGUGCAUUGACGUAGGUGCUUAUCCGCCGUGAGUUUUCGGGGGUUGAUGUUGAAUCCCUGGGGACUGAGGGCUCCCCCCUGUUUUUUUUGGGGGUUGAGGACGGCGGAGCGACGACGCGAUACGACCCGUCUUGAAACACGGACCAAGGAGUCUAGCGCGGGUGCGAGUCAAAGGGUGUAAAAGCCUGUGGGCGCAGUGAAAGCGACUCGCUACAAAACGAGCAGUUUGGGGCGGCAUAAGAUCGUUGAUCUUAAGACUGACCCGGAGCAUUUGCGCUGGGACCCGAAAGAUGGUGAACUAUGCCGGAGUAGGGCAAAGCCAGAGGAAACUCUGGUGGAGGCUCGUAGCGGUGCUGACGUGCAAAUCGCUCGUCAAACUUGGGUAUAGGGGCGAAAGACUAAUCGAACCAUCUAGUAGCUGGUUCCCUCCGAAGUUUCUCUCAGGAUAGCGGGCCGACAUUCAUGUUGUUCUGUGCGGUAAAGCGAAUGAUUAGCGUAUUNGGGGACAUCUAGUCUUCGGGCGAUUCUCAAACUUUAAAUGCGCAGGGGUGUCGCUGCUUAAUUGAGCGGCACCGGUAAAAACGUCGGCCCUGUGGGCCACUUUUGGUAAGCAGAACUGGCGAUACGGGAUGAACCGUAAGCAUGGUUAAGGCGCCAAACUACUCGCUUAUAGAUCCCAAAAAAGGUGUUGAUUCAUCGAGACAGCAGGACGGUGGCCAUGGAAGUCGGAAUCCGCCAAGGAGUGUGUAACAACUCACCUGCCGAAUGAAUUAGCCCUGAAAAUGGAUGGCGCUUAAGCGGGUGGCCGACACCAUGCCGUCUGGACGAUUUUCAGUUUCAGAUGAGUAGGAGGGCGUGGGGGCCGUGUCGAAGCAUGCGUGCAAACGCGUGUGGAACGGCCUCUAGUGCAGAUCUUGGUGGUAGUAGCAAGUAUUCAAGCGAGAUCCUUGAAGGGCGAAGCGGGGAAGGGUUCCACGCGAACAUUGAUUGGGCGUGGGUGAGUCGUUCCUAAGCCGAGUGGCGAUUGCUAAGUAGCGGCGAAAGGGAAGCGGGUUGAAAUUCCCGCACACGGAUGUGGAAGCGGUGACGCGACUGAUGGGGCGAACACGCUGGCGACGGCGCUGGGCAGAGUUGUCUUUUCUGUUUGACCAGGUUUGCGCGCGCGGUGUGGAAUCCGCUUGUCGGGAGAAACACGCGCGUGCGGGCAGAGCGCCGGGGCUUUUCCGGCGUCCAGCUCGCCGUCGACGGCCCUUGAAAAUUUGCCUGCUGAAUUGAAAUCCACGCCGUGGCGUACCGAUCACCGCAUCAGGUCCCCAAGGUGAACAGCCUCUGCUCAGUAUGAAUAAUGCAGGUAAGGGAAGUCGGCAAAUUAGACCCGUAACUUUGGGAAAAGGGUUGGCUCUAGUGCUGCGUGGGAGUGGUUGCCUAGUGUUGGGCGCUUUCGCCUCUGGCGGCUUUUUGGCGCGGGACCCGCAAGGGAUCUGUUCCAGGCUGCUGAGUGUGAUUGUGCCUCGCUGGGCGACGCCCACAGCAUGCAGCAGACUAGAACUGCAACGGGCAAAGGGAAUCCGACUGUUUAAUUAAAACAAAGCAUUGCGAGGGCCGUGGCCGGUGAUGACGCAAU
rnacentral:rRNA from 1 species